rnacentral:rRNA from 1 species
UUUUUUUGUUGGCGGGAGGGGCCCUAUAAUGCAAGUCGAGCGGAGAUGAGGKGSUKGCMCCWWAUCUUAGCGGCGGACGGGUGAGUAAUGCUUAGGAAUCUGCCUAUUAGUGGGGGACAACAUUCCGAAAGGAAUGCUAAUACCGCAUACGUCCUACGGGAGAAAGCAGGGGAUCUUCGGACCUUGCGCUAAUAGAUGAGCCUAAGUCGGAUUAGCUAGUUGGUGGGGUAAAGGCCUACCAAGGCGACGAUCUGUAGCGGGUCUGAGAGGAUGAUCCGCCACACUGGGACUGAGACACGGCCCAGACUCCUACGGGAGGCAGCAGUGGGGAAUAUUGGACAAUGGGGGGAACCCUGAUCCAGCCAUGCCGCGUGUGUGAAGAAGGCCUUAUGGUUGUAAAGCACUUUAAGCGAGGAGGAGGCUACUGAGACUAAUACUCUUGGAUAGUGGACGUUACUCGCAGAAUAAGCACCGGCUAACUCUGUGCCAGCAGCCGCGGUAAUACAGAGGGUGCGAGCGUUAAUCGGAUUUACUGGGCGUAAAGCGUGCGUAGGCGGCUUUUUAAGUCGGAUGUGAAAUCCCCGAGCUUAACUUGGGAAUUGCAUUCGAUACUGGGAAGCUAGAGUAUGGGAGAGGAUGGUAGAAUUCCAGGUGUAGCGGUGAAAUGCGUAGAGAUCUGGAGGAAUACCGAUGGCGAAGGCAGCCAUCUGGCCUAAUACUGACGCUGAGGUACGAAAGCAUGGGGAGCARACAGGAUUAGAUACCCUGGUAGUCCAUGCCGUAAACGAUGUCUACUAGCCGUUGGGGCCUUUGAGGCUUUAGUGGCGCAGCUAACGCGAUAAGUAGACCGCCUGGGGAGUACGGUCGCAAGACUAAAACUCAAAUGAAUUGACGGGGGCCCGCACAAGCGGUGGAGCAUGUGGUUUAAUUCGAUGCAACGCGAAGAACCUUACCUGGCCUUGACAUACUAGAAACUUUCCAGWGRKGGAYUKGUGCCUUCGGGAAUCUAGAUACAGGUGUGAGGGGCUUUUCCGUCAAAA